ACAAGCGGUGGAGCAUGUGGUUUAAUUCGACGCAACGCGAAGAACCUUACCAGGGCUUGACAUCCCCUGACCGCGUAUGAAAGUACGUUUUCACCCUCGGGUGACAGGGAGACAGGUGGUGCAUGGUUGUCGUCAGCUCGUGUCGUGAGAUGUUGGGUUAAGUCCCGCAACGAGCGCAACCCCUACGUUUAGUUGCUAACGCGUGAAGGCGAGCACUCUAGACGAACUGCCGUUGACAAAACGGAGGAAGGUGGGGAUGACGUCAAAUCAUCAUGCCCCUUAUGUUCUGGGCUACACACGUGCUACAAUGGCCGGUACAGACGGACGCAAAGCCGCGAGGUGGAGCAAAUCCUAAAAAGCCGGUCUCAGUUCGGAUUGCAGGCUGCAAUUCGCCUGCAUGAAGUCGGAAUCGCUAGUAAUCGCAGGUCAGCAUACUCGCGGUCGAAUACGUUCCCGGGCCUU
rnacentral:rRNA from 1 species